UGGUGGAGUGAUUUGUCUGGUUAAUUCCGUUAACGAACGAGACCCCCGCCUGCUAAAUAGUCCCUGGUACGCAUUCGCGUAGCAGUUGGCGCUUCUUAGAGGGACUUUCAGUGAUUAACUGAAGGAAGUUGGGGCAAUAACA
rnacentral:rRNA from 1 species